UGGGGCGUGGCCAAGUGGUAAGGCAGCGGGUUUUGGUUCCGUCAUUCGGAGGUUCGAAUCCUCCCGUCCCAG
rnacentral:tRNA from 1 species